rnacentral:ribozyme from 1 species
AUCAAUUUAGUAGUUCUGUAAAAGGGUUGGAUCCGACGCCUUUUGAAGGUUACUAUCGGCUCUCUUUCUCAACUGCUACUCAAUACGUCCACGACGUGCAGAACGGUAACUUGUCGCCUAGAUCCAAGCUUGGGUACACGGGGAAACCCA